rnacentral:rRNA from 1 species
GACAGAGGGUGCAAACGUUGUUCGGAAUUACUGGGCGUAAAGCGCGUGUAGGCGGCUAAGUAAGUCGGGCGUGAAAUCCCACGGCUCAACCGUGGAAGUGCACUCGAAACUGCAUAGCUAGAGUCCUGGAGAGGAAGGUGGAAUGCUUGGUGUAGAGGUGAAAUUCGUAGAUAUCAAGCGGAACACCGGUGGCGAAGGCGGCCU